GCAAGCACACAUUGCUGGUUCACAUGGAGCUUUUCAACCAUCAGCACCUCUUUAGGGCUGCUGUCUAUCCAUUUGUUGCCCAGACUGCCUUCAUGUUUGGGAUUGCCCCAGCCCAUAUACAGGACCCAGCACUUGGCCUUGUUGAACUUUGAGCAAGGCAGGUUUUUAACACCAUUUCACUCUCUGCAGCCAGGUAUGAGAACUCUAUUUUUAAAUUGCCCACAGAUGACUGAACAGAGACUUCUUAAUUUAGUCUGGAAGUUCUCUCUCACCAAAACUACAAUGAGAUGAAGCCUUUACUUGAUCCAUCCUCCUUCAGGCUGCCUGGGAGCAUCACUCCUGGAGCCAGAGCUGCAUGUAUGCAGAGUGGCACAGUUUCCACCUUGGAACAUUGGUUGUCUUUACUGGGACAUUGUGUCAAGCCAGCUAGGUGACAGCGCUACAGGGACAGGACCCAGGUGGCUGAGCAGCCAGUGGCUCAGGUCAAUCAUGUGCUGUGUCCCUGGAGCUGCCCCUAUUCACUCUAUGUUGGUCACAGGGAUUUGCUGGGAUCGUCUGGGGAGCAACUGUGAAGAAAAUAAUUCAGACCAGAUAUCUACACUUUCCCUUCCACCUCAUGAAGCCAGGGUGAGAAGGAGCACACACACGAGGGGAACCACGGGGAACCAAACGGAAAAACGAAAGUUUGCUGUCUGGUUUCACUGACUGAUCCUGCCAGCAUGCUGAGGAACAACAAAACAGCACAGAAAACAAAGUACUGGGCACUGAAAACUCUUUUGACUUUCAUGAUCCAAGGUGUUAUUAAUAAAAGAAGUCGGGAAUCUAUAGUCCUGAGCAUU